rnacentral:rRNA from 1 species
AAUCAACGCUGGCGGCGUGCCUCAGACAUGCAAGUCGAACGCGAAAGUCCCCUUCGGGGGACAAGUAGAGUGGCGCACGGGUGAGUAACACGUAGGUAAUCUACCUUCGGAUGGGGAAUAACAAUCGGAAACGGUUGCUAAUACCGCAUAAUGCAGCGGCACCUAAUGGUGACAGUUGUUAAAGCGGGGGAUCGAAAGACCUCGCGUCUGAAGAGGAGCCUGCGGCGGAUUAGCAGUUGGUAAGGUAAUGGCUUACCAAGGCGACGAUCCGUAACCGGCCUGAGAGGGCGGUCGGUCACACUGACACUGACAUACGGGUCAGACUCCUACGGGAGGCAGCAGUCGGGAAUUUUGGGCAAUGGGCGAAAGCCUGACCCAGCAACGCCGCGUGAAGGAUGAAAU